rnacentral:rRNA from 1 species
UCGGUAAAGAGCGGCGGACGGGUGAGUAACGCGUGGGUAACCUGCCCUGUACACACGGAUAACAUACCGAAAGGUAUGCUAAUACGAGAUAAUAUGCUUUUAUCGCAUGGUAGAAGUAUCAAAGCUUUUGCGGUACAGGAUGGACCCGCGUCUGAUUAGCUAGUUGGUAAGGUAACGGCUUACCAAGGCGACGAUCAGUAGCCGACCUGAGAGGGUGAUCGGCCACAUUGGAACUGAGACACGGUCCAAACUCCUACGGGAGGCAGCAGUGGGGAAUAUUGCACAAUGGGCGAAAGCCUGAUGCAGCAACGCCGCGUGAGCGAUGAAGGCCUUCGGGUCGUAAAGCUCUGUCCUCAAGGAAGAUAAUGACGGUACUUGAGGAGGAAGCCCCGGCUAACUACGUGCCAGCAGCCGCGGUAAUACGUAGGGGGCUAGCGUUAUCCGGAAUUACUGGGCGUAAAGGGUGCGUAGGUGGUUUCUUAAGUCAGAGGUGAAAGGCUACGGCUCAACCGUAGUAAGCCUUUGAAACUGGGAAACUUGAGUGCAGGAGAGGAGAGUGGAAUUCCUAGUGUAGCGGUGAAAUGCGUAGAUAUUAGGAGGACACCAGUUGCGAAG